CUAAUCAACAUCAAACAUGUCAGUGUCAGUGGCUGAUAACUUUAAUUGGAUUUUUGUUUAAAAGUAUUAGAGGAAAUACAUGCUUGAAACAUCAAAGACUGAAUUUUAGAACUUCAAACAAUGUUCUGGUUAUGUUUUUGAGAAGGGCUGUUGCCAGAUCUGUGCCGUUUGACUGCUGUAGUGAUACCUAUCGCAUCAGUUUCUGAGUUUGUGUGGUGCUUGCUAAAAUAUGCAUCUGCAUAAAUAGACUUACGAAGAACGAUGUUAGAGGAAAAUCAUAAUGGUGGCAAAGACAUGGUUAAGAAGUGCAAGCAUCAAGGAUGCCUGCAUACUCUUAAUUUGCUCCUCCUUUCACCCCAUCUCUAGGUAUUGUGGACACAAUUCUUAUGUGAUCACAUACUACUUUUCCAGCAGGAUCUCAGCCUCAUGAAUGCUCUCAGUGUGUCUGCUCUGGUGAGAAGCUGGAGCUGUGGGAUGAAGGUGAUUCCUCCAAAGGAGAAGAACAUUACCUGGUCUUGCUGUCCAUGCGCGAUAGGACAAAAGGGUUUGAACAGUGCACCAUGAAGAAGGCGAAGGGCCACAUGCUGAGUGACAAGAAGAAAACAAAAUAUCGAAUGACUGCCGAUGAAGCAAAUGAUGCAACAUCUGAAGCUGUUGGCACAUUGAACUGAUCUCGCAGAUGGCUAAUGAGGAGUCAGAGAAGCCAAAGGUGAACCUGAACCAAAUAAAGGGUAUAAUGGGCUUGA